UGUAGCCCGUUUGUCGGGCUCCCGGCGUUUUAUUGCGUUCCGUCUGCAUUUAGACACGGCACCGCUGCACUACUGGACUACAGCAAGCACCCGAGACGCUAAGUGCUUGUUUGGAAGCAAAAAGGAACUAGUGACUACGAGGAAUCCUGUACGUGAGCAACAGAUGGCUGAAAGAUGUGGCAGACACCUUCCGAAGGGUGUGCAACUCCUGCGUACUGAGCCCCUGGAACAAUGCUCAUUUCGUUGCUUCACCGGCACCAAGUCAUACUUCGUGUUAAAUGAGCCUGACGGUAAACCCUGUAGCAAGACUAAUCCC